rnacentral:rRNA from 1 species
CCUACGGGAGGCAGCAGUGAGGAAUAUUGGUCAAUGGGCGCGAGCCUGAACCAGCCAAGUCGCGUGAGGGAAGACGGUCCUAUGGAUUGUAAACCUCUUUUGUCGGGGAGCAAAAGACGCCACGCGUGGCGUUCCGAGAUUACCCGAAGAAAAAGCAUCGGCUAACUCCGUGCCAGCAGCCGCGGUAAUACGGAGGAGGCGAGCGUUUGCCGGAUUUCCUGGGUGUAAAGGGUGGGAUGAGGGCAGGGCAAGUCUGGGGGUAAAGGCAAGGGCCCAACCCCUGGCCUGCUCUGGAAACUGUCCGGCUGGAGUGCAGGAGAGGUAAGUGGAAUUCCUGGUGUAGCGGUGAAAUGCGUAGAUAUUAGGAGGAACACCAGUGGCGAAGGCAGCUUACUGGACUGUAACUGACGUUGAGGCUCGAAAGCGUGGGGAGCAAACAGGAUUAGAUACCCGUGUAGUC